rnacentral:rRNA from 1 species
UACGAAGGUGGCAAGCGUUGUUCGGAUUCACUGGGCGUACAGGGUGUGUAGGCGGUUUGGUAAGCCUUCUGUUAAAGCUUCGGGCCCAACCCGGAAAGCGCAGAGGGUACUGCCAGGCUAGAGGACGGGAGAGGAGCGCGGAAUUCCAGGUGUAGCGGUGAAAUGCGUAGAUAUCGGGAGGAACACCAGUGGCGAAGGCGACUACCUGGCCUGUUCUUGACGCUGAGGCGCGAAAGCUAGGGGAGCAAACGGG